GGUUAAGUGAAUAAGGGCGCACGGUGGAUGCCUUGGCACUAGGAGCCGAUGAAGGACGGGACUAACACCGAUAUGCUUUGGGGAGCUGUACGUAAGCUAUGAUCCAGAGAUUUCCGAAUGGGGGAACCCAACAUCUUUAAUAGGAUGUUACGAUUGUGUGAAUACAUAGCACAUUCGAGGUAGACGCAGAG
rnacentral:rRNA from 1 species